AUUUGCUAAUCAUGCUAGCGACAUGGCUAGUCAUUUUGCUAAUUAUUCUAGUGACAUGCUAGAUACCUUGCUAAUCAUGCUAAGUACAUGCUUGUCACAUGGUAGUCACUUGCUUGUAAUGCUAGCAAUAUGUUAAUCACUGUCAUUUUUAUACUUAAACUUUUAAAUCUUUUUAAACUUUUUAAACUUUUCACAUUUUCAAACUUUUCAAACUUUCUGGUCAGGCUUUCUCAAGCCAACUUAAAGUUUGUCUUGACGAACUUUUUUAUCUAGUUAUUAUUAUUAUUUUUUUAUUAAACCUUCCGGGGGUUUUUGGGGGCCUUAACAUGCUCAAAAACUCUUGAAAAUUGGCACAUACAUUGGAAUCUGCGGCCAUCAGGACGCCACAGAGACUGGGACCCGGGUGGGGCACAGGGGCUCUACAGCCAUCUUGAACCAUAGCUCACACACACUUGCAUGUAUUUAUAUGAAACUCAGUACACUUAUAUAUCUCAUUGAGCGGAACAACUUUCGCGCUCUAUGUUAUAGGCUCCACCCAACAGGAAGUCAGCUAUUCAGGGCUGUUUAAAAAAAGCAUGCUCUGGAAUUUGAUAUACUUGUCAUAGGUUUUUUACUUGAUUGCCACCAAACUCGGUCAACAUGAUCUCAAGACAUUGGGGAUGAAAAAUUGUGAGGGGAUUUUUGAUAUAUCGAACGGUUUGCCCGUGGCGUGGCGUUGAAAUUAGGGCAAUAAAUGAGAAACAGGAAAUGCCUAAUAACAUCCACAUACAUUGCCUGAGUUUGAUCAAACUUCAUCGGUUUGUUCGUUGUAUGAUACCAAUCGUAUAUAUGUGACUAUUAAGAGUCAAUGUUAUAGCGCCACCAACUGGCAGCAGGAAUUGAGUCAUUUUCAGAAUGCUUUGAAUUCAGCAUCUUAUUUUUACUCGAUUUGCUUCAAACUUCAUCAGAAUAAUGACAAAACAUGGCCGAUGUAAAUCUGUUGUGGGGAUGUUGAUAUCUUAUAUAUUGUUGCCAUGGCAACGUGUCAAACUUGAAUAUUCUGUUAUGGUGAUUUUGAGGCAGAUAACAACCUCAGAUUUACAUGAAACUCAAAACACAUCAGUAUUAUUGAUAGCUAGACAAUGGAAAAACCUUUUAAAAGGGUGUGGAAAAGGCACUCUAUGGUGCCACCUUUUGUCAAAAGUGGGGGGGUUAGUUUUAGCUACAGACACCAAACUCGAUACGUAUAUUGUUCUUUUCAAGACGGACAACUUUCUAAUUCACAGUCAUUAGCUACGACCAACAGGAAGUCAGCUAUUUUGAUUUGAAUAUGGAUUUUUUUUUAAUUGAGCUGUGAUUUAAUGCAUACUCCUCAGAGGAAAAGUUCACUAUACUCACCAAACUUUGUCUACAUGUUGCAAAAACAUUGAGGAACUUAAAUUGCGAACGGAUUUUGGUUAGCUUGAACGGUUUUGUCGUGGUGAUUUUUUGAAAUGACAGUGAAAAGGGAAUCAUUAAUUGUCUUGUAUUUUUAAAUGGCAGCUUCCAAACACUUAAAAACAUUUUUUCAUACAGAGAUCAAAUCAUUCUGAGGACAUAUGCAUAGUUUCAUGACUUUACAACACUGUAUGAUUAAAAGAAAAUUAAAAAACUGUCAGACAUCUCAACUCACUCUGUCCCUCUGUUUGAGGAAUGUAUGUGCGCUGACUGAGUGUGUGUGUGUGUGUGUGUGUGAGUGGGGGAUGGGCAUGAGCUGAGUGGCAGACAGACAGAGAGAGAGAGAGAGAGAGAGAGACUUAAACAUCUCUUUAAUCACCAGAAAAAAAACUGUAUUUUAAAUUGUUAUUUUUUGUUGUUGUUGCUAAUUGUGCUGUUUUCAUUACAGCUUAAGAAAUCUCUUAGGCCUUAUCCUUUUCUGACAGUUUCAGGAUAAAAAUAAAAAAAAUUCUAAAAAUACUUAUUUGUGCUGCAAAUAAUAAUUUCAAACUCAUUUGAUACUGACCUCUGACACCCUGUGACAUGACAUUUAUCUUAAUUUACAUAAUCUCAUUGAUGUAACAGUAAAACUGUUCAGCUCACAGAUGACGACUAAGCUGUAACGCAAGCAAAACUAUUUCACAAAUGCUUAUAGGUCAAUAAAAUCAUAACAAAGCACUUUUAAAUUAUUUAAGGAUUUGGUAACACUUUAAAAAAAUGUCUCAUUUGUUAACAUUAGCAAAUGCAUUGGUAACACUUCAUAAUAGCUGCACUCAUUAGCUAAGCAUUAGUAAAGAGUCAGUUCAUGCUUUAUAUAGCCUUCUCCCAAAAUUAAUAGUCAUUAAUUAGCAUUUUAUAAAUACAACUAUAAUUAAAUUGUUCAUGGUUUAUAUGCACAUUUAUUUUGAGGAGAUUAAAGGCUGUAAUCUUCCUAAAAAAAUAAAAAAAUAAAAAAAUAAACAAACACAGAACUAAGAAAUAUUUAUUUCAAGAUGCAAUAAAAGAAAACUGCACACUUUAAUUUAUAUAUAUAUAAAAUUGCAUACGUUUAUAUUAAAAUUUUUUAUCAAGUGUACAGCUGUACGGUUUCAUUUCUGCAUCUUGAAAACAUAUUUCUGUGUUCUUUAUCCCUCUGUGUUGUGUUUAACUUUUCAGUUUGGAAGAUCAAUGAUUCUUUAAAUCUCCUUUGUGAAUGCUUUAAAUGUAUAAAUAGUCCUCACGUUAGAUGAGCUCACAAAAAUAGAUAGCUGGCAAUUACUAAAUGUUUUAUAAAAACCUGACUUUAUCAUGAAUUACAGCUGGAAUAUGUCAAUAAAGCAGUUAUUAACAAACUGACCAACUAUUAUCAUGUGUCUAAGUAAUAAGAUUUAUAUAUUUACACUAAAAUAGUUUAUUAAUCAUUUAAUUUCACUUUCUUACAACAAACAAAUUGUUUGGACUACAACAACCAUUUUCCGGUAUUUGUGAUAUCACAAAUAUUGACGAAUGGGAUGUGAAAAAACUCCUUAUAUUCAGGUGUGCAGAAUUAUAAGGCACUUUUUCCUUUACUGAUAAAAUGAGCCAAAAAAAGACAUUUCACUCAGACUGAAAAAAACUAAAUUAUUAGAUCCUCAUGAGAAAUAUUCAAAAUUAGAUCACUACAUUAAUUGCAAAAGUAAAGACAUGACCACUGGACAGCAAAAUGCUUACUGGGUCAGAAGGGUCAGAAAAAAACAGGUGGAGAAGAACAGAAACAAGUAAACUGCAAAAGAAUUAAGAAUUAAAGUGAAGAAUUAGGUGCGAAACAAUCAGGGAGCAUUUAGUCUACAGUGCCACCAUUUUCCAGAACUGCAACUUUCCUGGAGUCUACGAAUUGUAAUGUGUCAGGUUCUGAGAGAUGUAAAAAGAUCCCAAAUCAAUCAUUUAAUCAAAUUAAAUGACUUAAUUAGAAUAGCACAACAUAUUGUGUUAUACUAUUUUAAGAUUUUAUAUAUAGGCUUUAUGAACAGGUUUUGAGUUAUUCUUGAAGGACUAGCAUCACCUCCUCUUGUACAACGGUUUGAGGAAUAUAUCUUCCAGAUAGUACCGCUGCUCUCUAUUUGCAGAGUAUGCAGUCUCUGUAGGGCACCAACUCCCAGAGGGGGCACCAUUCCAGUAGCUCAAAAAAAAAAAAAAACAUGCGCCAUUCUCCCAUCCGCGCUCACGACCGCUCGCACCUCAUGUUUGCGGAUGAAUGUUCGUAAUUGAUGGAUCGACAUUUAUGCCCAGGUAAAGGACAUCAGCAAUCCGGCACAAUGAAAAGAAACAUAAAGUAAAAAACAAAACAAAAACAGGCAUAAAGUUGGCUUGACAUUGGACAUUCGAGAGUCUCAAAUUUAGGGACUGUCUCUAAAGUUACAUGUGAUAUUGUUAUACACUUUUCUAACGUCAGUAGCAUUUGAAGAGAAUGGCUUACAGUCAUAAAAACAACUGUAAUUGUUUAUCUAGGUGAAUUUAAAUUCCCAUUCUUCAGUGUCUCUUCCAUCGCAUCGCUGCUUGCAAAUCAAACUGUUGCAGUUUGUUUCAGAACAUCUGAAAUCCGCAUCUUAAAUAAGUGAAUACUCUCUUAAUUCAUAUCGCUGUGCAUGUUGCCUGGUGGUUAGCAUAAUUUUGCAUCGGUUGCCGGAACGAAUAUUAAGCAUAUUAGCAGCAGCAUUUAUACAUCUGUGUUCAUACACCUGGAGCAAUACGCAGCUAGAGCAUGCAAUUGCUCUAAGGACACGCCGAUAAGGCCAUGAGAACAGGGUCAGAUGAUACCAGCAUUCUAGUGUAAGCGUUUCAACAGGGGUUCCCUGUAUUUAGCAGCGAAAUCUCAAUGUCACUGAUGUUUAUUUCUAAGGUUGAUGACACAUUAGCUGUGUGAGUGUUUCAGAUGCACACAGCUUCAAAAGCACGCAUUUAUCUCUCUAUGGCUUCUAUAUAUAGGCUUAUAAGUACGUGAUUUCAAUAGCCACGUUUUACAUGUAUUUUAUUUUUUUUCAUUCAGAUUUAAAGAUUCGGUGGACUGUUUACAUGAGACGUUAUCUAAUCCAAUAAGGUGUUUACAUGUGCUCGUGCUUUCGAUUUUGGGACAUACCAAGUAGCCUACGAUGACAUGCAAAUUACCAGAGAAGAAGAGAAGAAUAAACACCAACGGUUGCAUCAAUAUUUUUAAUAACUGCUGGCACUUGCUUGGAAUUAACAGACUAAUAUUUGAACCUCUAGUGUUCAUUCGUGCGCUCAGUCAUGUGGCCCGAACACGAUCACAUACACACUGGCCAUCUUCUAUCAUACCACACCAGUGGUGUAGUCGGGGCCAUACGCACUUGUUUUGUUGCUUCGCAAAGUCUGUAAUUUACUGCAGCAUUUCUUCAUUGGAAGCAGUCUCUAUCACAUUCUGUUUACAAGUCAUGUAAUUGUGAAUUAUAAUUCUGUAUGCUUAUAAUGGUUCUGUUCUGUAUCCCAGGGGGGUUUGUCUUGCUGCUCGCCCCGCUCUGUCCAAGCAUGGCUGCAUGGACAGGCGUGUGGAGUGUUGCCCAGAACAUAACCUUACCGCCAACACUAACUGUAUGCAAUUAUAAUUGUCAUAAAUAUACUUGACGGAAGUGGUCCUGAUUGAACUCCCUUUUCUGUCCAAGAUACUAGAAAAGUAUCCUCACAAUUAUAUUCCUUCUUAGAGAAAAAUGGUAUUUGUGAGGAUUUCCAGUUAGGAUUUAGACUAUAUCAAAGUGGGAGAGUGGGAGAAGCAAGUGAAGUGAAGUGAGUAUCAUAGUACUGAGUAGUAAAACUCAAUUUUUCCAUCUAAAAAUAUAUGUCUAAAUUACGGCCUAUGCUCUCAAUGUCAAAUGCAGAAAUGUUAAUCCAUGCAUUUAUGACCUCAAUGUUAGAUUAUUGUAAUGAUUUAUUGGGUGAUUGUUCUGCACGCUUAGUAAACAAACUACAGCUAGUCCAAAAAACAGCAGCAAGAGUUCUUACUAGAACCAGGAAGUAUCACCAUAUUAGCCCGGUCCUGUCAUCGCUGCACUGGCUCCCUAUCAAAUAUUGUAUAGAUUUUAAAAUAUUGCUUAUUACUUAUAAGUCCCUGAAUGGUUUAGCACCUCAGUAUUUGAAUGAGCUCUUGUUACCGUAUUUUCCGCACUAUAAGGUGCACUUUAAUUAAGCCUUUAAUUUUCUCAAAAAAAUGACAGUGCACCUUAUAAUCCGGAGCGCCUUAUAUAUGGAUCAAGGUGCUCAAGGCGUCUUUAUCUGACUGUUUUGUUGACAUUCCCUUUAGCACAGCUCCAUCUAGUGGAUGCAUAACGCAAAACCAGUCAAACGUUUGACUGCAGUAUCUUCUAUUCUAUGCGCCUUAUAAUCCAGUGCGCCCUUUAUAUGAAAACAGUUCUAAAAUAGGCAAUUCAUUGAAGGUGCGCCUUAUAAUCCGGUGCGCCUUAUAGUGUGGAAAAUACGGUACAUAAUCCUCCACGUCCACUGCGUUCUCAAAACUCAGGCAAUUUGAUAAUACCUAGAAUAUCAAAAUCAACUGCGGGCGGCAGAUCCUUUCCCUAUUUGGAGUCUACUGCACCUAUUUGGAGUCUACUGCGUCUACUGUGUCUACCUCCAUGUCCACUGCAUUCUCAAAACUCAGGCAAUUUGAUAAUACCUAGAAUAUCAAAAUCAACAGCACCUAGAAAGGACCUCUACAGCCCUGAAAGACAGCGGAGACCAGGACAACUAGAGCCCCAGAUACAGAUCCCCUGUAAAGACCUUGUCUCAGAGGAGCACCAGGACAAGACCACAAAAAACAGAUGAAUCUUCUGCACAAUCUGACUUUGCUGCAGCCUGGAAUUGAAUUUGAGCCUGGUUUCAUCUGGUCAGAGGAGAACUGGCCCACCCAACUGAGCCUGGUUUCUCCUAAGGUUUUUUCUCUGUUCUGUCACCGAUGGAGUUUCGGUUCCUUGCCGCUGUCACCUCUGGCUUGCUUAGUUGGGGUCACUUCAUCUACAGCGAUUGCUAAUGAUUGCAGAGACACAAUUUAAACUGAACUGAGAUGAUAUCACUGAAUUAAAUUAUGAACUGCCUUUAAUUGUCAUUUUGAUUUGAUUUGAUUUGCCUUUAUUGUCUCCUGACGGAGAAAUUUGUCUUGGGCAUUCGGGAUAACAGAUGCACACAAUAUACAUAUAACACAACAUUUUGCAUAAUGAAUGUUGUUCAUUUGCUUUAAUGCAUUGUAUUUUGUUUAAAGCGCUAUAUAAAUGAACGUUCUUUAAAAAACAUUAAAUACAUUUACAGUGAGUUCAUUUCAAAACGUAGUCUUAGGCUACAGUCUACUCAUCAAAUAUUAAAAGAACACCUUUACACAAACCUUUACUCAUUCACCGUGACAUCCGGAGCGAGCAGCGGUCCACUUUGUCAUAUUGCUACAGUAUGACACAUUUGUAUGAUUGAGAGAAGGAGAGAGUCCAACCUUACCGUAUGCUUAGCUCAAAAUUUUUAUUUGUUUAUAGCUAACCCUAUAUUAUUAUAUGAUGCAAUUAUAUUUAUCCAUUAGAAUUAUAUAAUUAAAAUUCUUGUUCUGUUCUGAUAAAUUUGUUCAAUUUAAAGUAUUUGUUGUAAAGUGAAGGGAACUAAAAAUAUUAUUUUGGUACAUUAUAACAUUAUUACGCCAGCCAUUAUUAUUUCUAAAUGUAAUAAAAUGCAACUUAUACAUGACUUAUAUAUUUUUUUUCCUCUCACAAACUGAUUUUUUUUUUAGUGUGUUUAAAAAAUAAUGCAGCAAACCAAAAAUAGGCGAUUAAUCAAUUAAAAUUUGGUACUGUGGGUUAACAGUAAUUAUAAUUAUUAUAUUCUAAGGAACCCUAACCCUAAUAAGAUGGACCCUAAUCUAGGCUAUCCAAUUUUUUUUUUUUUUGCAUCUGAAAAUGACUUUUUGCAGCACAUUCACUUUGUGCUCUCUGGUGCAGAUCCGCCUCAUGCAUUGCUCAGCUGUGGACGAUUUAAAAAUAUUUGAUAUAAAGUUUGCUGUACGUUUUAAUAAGCGAAUUGUUAAUUAAAAAAAAAAAAAAAAAGUUGAAGAUUUUUCUAAUAAUAAUUUUUUUUGGAGAGCAAAACUACUCAAAGUAUUGACUCAUAUUGGUUCACACAUCAGAAUAAACACUGUGUCUUUGCUGUCUGGAGCAAAGUGGAUCCACAUCCAUAAUAUUCCCCCCUAAAAAAAAACAACGCCAGUAGUUACAACGGAUUUAGAAUUCAAGCCACUUGAGACCCUAGAGUCCACUCAAAGAAACACUAUGAUGCCAAGGUAGAACUUUAAAUGUCUUUGAUGGAGUUUGUCCUUCUAAGCACUUUUCAGAAUAGGUACAGGAUGUUUCUGUCUUUGCUCUCAAAUAUGAAGUGGAUCCACAUCCGUAAUAUAUCUUGUUGUUGCUGUGUGAACUGUGUUAGCACUCCGUCUGGCUAUUUUUUAUCUUAAAAAUCUAUUUCCAUUUCCGUUUCUAUAAUGUACCUCUAUGAAUAUAUCCUCUAUCGUAUUCUACAACAAAAACAAUCAGCCCACCUCGUUAUCACUAGUUUUAUUUUGAUAUUUUGAGCUGGAGGCCGUUGAGAAGCAGAUUCGCGACCUGGAGGUGAGGCAGGCCCAGCUGAAAGUGCGGAGAGCUGUGCUAAAAUCCUCCCGGGCUGAUGCUCACAAGUCCGGGGUAAGUAUACAGUGCGCUGCUAACAGUCAAACCACGUCUACUCCCUAUGUCUCUCUGCAAAGGCCCGGUGCACCCAGGACAAGAACUUCCCAGAUGUCCUUCACUCGGGCGCUGGGACACCACAGACCCUGGGUGCAUCCACAGCGGAGGACGCGAGCCAGGCCCUGGGCGAUGACUUUUCCCCCUCCAGCCUUCGAGAUCUCCACCCGGAACCGCUUCGCUCCCCUCCGUGAGACGAGAGCCCCAGAGCGAUUGUGCUUCACGCCGGGAUUAAUGACACCACGCUGCGACAGAUGGAGAUGCAUAAAAAGGGACUUCAGGAGCCUAAUCGAGAUGGUUCCCAGCAAGACUGGGUAAUUUAAUAAUUGGGACAGUUAAUAACUGGAAUUUUUUCUGGGAGCGUCCUAGGCUUUUUCGCGCUGAUGGCCUGCCCCCCAGCAGAGUCGGAGCAGAGCUGCUCUCUGACAACAUCUCCAGGACACUUCGCUCCAUGUGACUACUCCUAAAAGAGGUGCUUCCAGAAGUCAAGACCACAGGAAACAGAUGAUUCUUCUGCACAAUCUGACUUUGCUGCAGCUUGGAAUUGAACUACUGGUUUCCGUCUGCUUAGAGGAGAACUGGUCCCCCAACUGAGCCUGGUUACUCCCAAGGUUUUUUUUCUCCAUUCUGUCACCGAUGGAGUUUCGGUUCCUUGCCGCUGUCGCCUCUGGCUUGCUUAGUUGGGGUCACUUCAUCUACAGCGAUAUCAUUGACUUGAUUAAAAAUAAAUGCACAGACACUAUUUAAACUGAACAGAGAUGACAUAACUGAAUUCAAUGAUGAACUGCCUUUAACUGUAAUUUUGCAUUAUUGACACACUGUUUUCCUAAUGAAUGUUGUUCAGUUGCUUUUGAUGCAAUGUAUUUUGUUUAAAAGAGCUAUAUAAAUAAAGGUGAUUUGACUUGA